rnacentral:rRNA from 1 species
GGAGUUUGGACCGUGUCUCAGUUCCAAUGUGGGGGACCUUCCUCUCAGAACCCCUACUGAUCGUCGCCUUGGUGGGCCGUUACCCCGCCAACUAACUAAUCAGACGCAUGCCCAUCUACUGCCGAUAAAUCUUUCAAUAUCAAGAGAUGUCUCUAAAUAUCACAUACGGUAUUAAUCUUACUUUCGCAAGGCUAUCCCGUAGCAGUAGCCAGGUUGCAUACGCGUUACUCACCCGUGCGCCGGUCGCCGACAAGAUAUUGCUACCUCUCGCUGCCCCUCGACUUGCAUGUGUUAGGCCUGUCGCUAGCGUUCAUC